rnacentral:miRNA from 1 species
UAUGUGUAUUCGUGCGUAGCA